UGGGGAAUUUUGGACAAUGGGGGCAACCCUGAUCCAGCAAUGCCGCGCGCAGGAAGAAGGCCUUCGGGUUGUAAACUGCUUUUGUACGGAACGAAACGGUCUGGAUUAAUACCCUGGGCUAAUGACGGUACCGUAAGAAUAAGCACCGGCUAACUACGUGCCAGCAGCCGCGGUAAUACGUAGGGUGCGAGCGUUAAUCGGAAUUACUGGGCGUAAAGCGUGCGCAGGCGGUUUUGUAAGACAGGCGUGAAAUCCCCGGGCUCAACCUGGGAAUGGCGCUUGUGACUGCAAAGCUGGAGUGCGGCAGAGGGGGAUGGAAUUCCGCGUGUAGCAGUGAAAUGCGUAGAUAUGCGGAGGAACACCGAUGGCGAAGGCAAUCCCCUGGGCCUGCACUGACGCCCAUGCACGAAAGCGUGGGGAGCAAACAG
rnacentral:rRNA from 1 species